UCCACUGAGCCACGCCCCAGGCAGGAGGAUUGGUGCCCAGCCUAGCCUGCCCCCACCUCUAGCCACUGCUAAGGAGGAGCUUGGCCAGGCAUGUGCAAGAACUGAGGCAGAGGUUCAGGCUGAAGGGGGCAAGUUUUGGAGAUGGAUUUAGAGAAGGGGACUAGUAAAGUCUUGUGCCUUUGGAAAAAGAGGCAGCAUGAGAAAAGGCAGAAAAGGUUGAAUAGAAGGAGCCAGAGUAGCAAUAAGUAAGGAAUGUGGGUGGAGCCCAAGGGAGGAGUUUCAGAGCUUGGGAGGCAGUCAGUGUUGAUGCCUGUAGCUGGAGUUAAUAUCACUGGGAACCUGGCAGUAAAAAAGCUUGGUUUCCCAUACAUGGGGGAGCAGAAGUGAAUAUAGUGUGCAAGUAUCAGUGGAAAGAAAUCUCUAUGGGGACAGAAGAUCAGCAGCUAUAAGGUGGUUGAAAGGAGAACCCCUUAGUUGGCUGGCAAAGUGUUGGAAGUCAGUUGUUUCUGUGCUCUCAGGAUGACAGAUGUAACAGCAGGAUGAAUUUGCUGUGACUUCGUUCACUCUUCAGUAUUCCCAUACGGUUUGAUGUAAGCCUCUUUAGACUCUUCUUUGCAGUGAUGAUUGAUGUUGCCACCAAAGAUGCACAGACAGUCUUUCUCAUUCAGGCAACAUAAAUCAGUGAAUUCAGGAUCCCAUUUUAGAGUGAACCACCGCUCCUAAUUCGGCAAGUACAGGCUGCCAGCACCUUAGGAACAAAAGCUCAUGAAGGUCAGUAUGAACUCUAAAGCAGACUGGUUUAGACUGGUUAUAAUUGGUUCUGACUCAUUGACAAGGAGGACAUCUCUCUAGAGGGUAGCUGACAUCUUUUCUUCUCCGUUAGAUGUCACCCUCAAUAUAAAUGAGGGCUCCUAACAAGUAUCCCUGUACAGUGCUUUUUGGGUGUAUGUGAGGCAGAGACCAGUUACUUCUACAGUAAUAGCAACUUGUACAUUUCCAUUCAUAAGAGAACGUGUGCACCAGUAUGUACUGAAAAGACUCUCCUGGACUAAGAUGACCUUUUGAACAAAAAUAACUCUCUUUUGGAUAUUUCCAGUAUCCACAGACGGCUCUAGCCUGUAUAUUGUACCAGCAAUAAUGCCCAAGUUCCCAGAGCCAACCAGACUGUACUGGCCCCAAUUACCAUUAAGACCUUUUCAGUUCAGAACUGUGGAGGCUCUUUUUACGCCUAAUUUCUUUCCUCAGCCCAGAGUCUUACUCUUUGGCAAUGGAAAAGUUCUCUUAGGUCACAUCUUGUCCAUGCCCUGUAGACAAAAGGGAAAUGCUUUACAGCCAUUCCUCUUCUAGUGUGAUCCACAGUCCACUUUUAUGUUAUGUCUUCUGUGCCAGAGGUUCCCAGACCUUUUCAUACCAAGCAGCAUAUUAUCAAUAGGGAAGUUGUCCAUGGAGACAUCAACUCACUCACCACUGCAGAGAUUAUGACAGUUUCCGCUCAAAAUCAUGUAACUACCAGGUGGUAACUACAACAUUUACUUUACUUGAAAAGCAGCAUUAAGGAAAUAGAUUAUAAGGUGUUAGUUUAUCUUGGUGUCCUUGGACAACUGAAAACAAGGAGAAAGAGGAGUCAGCAACUUUUAAGCAGCAAGCUCUGGCCAGAUCACCAGCAAGUUCUCCUCUCCAAUCCACAGAGCAUAGUUUGGGAACCCUGACACUACUUCCUUCCAGAGGUUAUCCCAUGGUUUGAAAACCUCCUUAUUUUUAGAAGUAUUUUGGAGCAAGGGUCCAUUAUAGGGAUAUUGGAUGGACUUUACUUUUAUACCACAGUAUCUGAGACCCUUCCAUAGUAAUUACAUCAUACUUUUGAUUUCUCCAGAAUAUGACACUGCAUUUCCCUUAAUUCAUUUUGACCUUGUGUUUCCCAAUACCAGUACCUCAUAUAAAAAGUGUUUGUCAGAAACAAAAUUAAUUUAAAUAAAUUAAGAAUAGGUUAAGAACUUGUUGAUUCAACAAGCUCUAACUAAAGAAUUAUUCCUUGUAUAAUCCAGUGUAUCCCCGUAUCUUCCAGACACUUGUUUUCGUUGUUAGUGUGAAGAUUUCAUCAUAAAGAAAAGCUGAUGAUUCAUAAAAAAAUAUUGCUGAUAUGUAAAGCAUCUUUCUUGUGUACUGGGAUUUCUGGAGGGAAGCUGCCUUUGGGAAAUUAUUCUUGGCAGAAACAGCAAGACUAGUCAGCCCCAUGGGAAGGAG